CUACGGGGGGCAGCAGUGGGGAAUAUUGCACAAUGGGGGGAACCCUGAUGCAGCAACGCCGCGUGGAGGAUGACACAUUUCGGUGCGUAAACUCCUUUUAUAUAAGAAGAUAAUGACGGUAUUAUAUGAAUAAGCACCGGCUAACUCCGUGCCAGCAGCCGCGGUAAUACGGGGGGUGCAAGCGUUACUCGGAAUCACUGGGCGUAAAGAGCAUGUAGGUUGGUUAGUAAGUUGGAAGUGAAAUCCUAUGGCUUAACCAUAGAACUGCUUCCAAAACUACUAACCUAGAAUAUGGGAGAGGUAGAUGGAAUUUCUGGUGUAGGGGUAAAAUCCGUAGAGAUCAGAAGGAAUACCGAUUGCGAAGGCGAUCUACUGGAACAUUAUUGACGCUCAGAUGCGAAAGCGUGGGGAGCAAACAGGAUUAGAUACCCCGGUAGUC
rnacentral:rRNA from 1 species